UCGGACAUGGUGUAUGGCACACCGCCUCUUGUCUUGCAAAGGAAUAUUAAUCUCCAAUGAUGUUGGAGGCAGACCGGGGUUCGACUCCCCGUGUCCGAA